UAUACCUCACACACACACACACACACACACACACACACACACACACACACACACACACACACACACACACACACACACACACACACACACACACACACACACACACACACACACACACACACACACACACACACACACACACACACACACACAGUGUGUAGGUACAGUAUGAGUAGUGACAGUAGGGUGUGUAGGUACAGUAUGAGUAGUGACAGUAGGGUGUGUAGGUACAGUAUGAGUAGUGACAGUAGGGUGUGUUGUUACAGUAUGAGUAGUGACAGUGGGGUGUGUAGGUACAGUAUGAGUACAGUAUGUGUACUGACAGUAGGGUGUGUUGCUGUGUGUAGGUACAGUAUGAGUAGUGACAGUGGGGUGUGUAGGUACAGUAUGAGUACAGUAUGUGUACUAACAGUAGGGUGUGUUGCUGUGUGUAGGUACAG